rnacentral:rRNA from 1 species
AACGAACGCUGGCGGCAUGCCUAACACAUGCAAGUCGAACGAGACCUUCGGGUCUAGUGGCGCACGGGUGCGUAACGCGUGGGAACCUGCCCUUAGGUUCGGAAUAACUCCCCGAAAGGGGUGCUAAUACCGGAUAAUGUCUUCGGACCAAAGAUUUAUCGCCUUUGGAUGGGCCCGCGUUGGAUUGGCUAGUUGGUAGGGUAAAAGCCUACCAAGGCGACGAUCCAUAGCUGGUCUGAGAGGAUGAUCAGCCACACUGGGACUGAGACACGGCCCAGACUCCUACGGGAGGCAGCAGUGGGGAAUAUUGGACAAUGGGCGAAAGCCUGAUCCAGCAAUGCCGCGGGAGUGAUGAAGGCCUUAGGGUUGUAAAGCUCUUUUACCCGGGAUGAUAAUGACAGUACCGGGAGAAUAAGCUCCGGCUAACUCCGU